GGGUGCUCUGGAUCUUUCUGUCCUGAGCCUCAGCAAAAGGCAGAAAGAGAAAGGCUCCGAAUCGAUGUUAAUCAACCCGAGGCCACUCUAAUGCUUACACAACAUAAAAGGUAGCCUCUUCCACGCCGAAAGGCAAGAUAAGGAGGCCAGGAUG
rfam:Candidatus Sodalis pierantonius str. SOPE, complete genome.